rnacentral:rRNA from 1 species
AACGAACGCUGGCGGCAUGCCUAACACAUGCAAGUCGAACGAGACCUUCGGGUCUAGUGGCGCACGGGUGCGUAACGCGUGGGAACCUGCCCUUAGGUUCGGAAUAACUCCCCGAAGGGGGUGCUAAUACCGGAUAAUGUCUUCGGACCACAGAUUUAUCGCCUUUGGAUGGGCCCGCGUUGGAUUAGCUAGUUGGUAGGGUAAAAGCCUACCAAGGCGACGAUCCAUAGCUGGUCUGAGAGGAUGAUCAGCCACACUGGGACUGAGACACGGCCCAGACUCCUACGGGAGGCAGGAGAGGGGGAUAUUGGACAACGGGCGAAAGCCUGAUCCAGCAAUGCCGCGUGAGUGAUGAAGGCCUUAGGGUUGUAAAGCUCUUUUACCCGGGAUGAUAAUGACAGUACCGGAAGAAUAAGCUCCGGCUAACUCCGUG